AUGUAGUUAUCAUGACAUUCUUAGAUCUCCACUUCCGAAGAAGAGUGGUUUUAGUCGGCUGCUUGGUGUCACUAGUGAGGCCGCGACUCUGGUGAGGCCUGUGUGCAUGCUAAUGCAAUGGUUACUAAAAACACCACUCUCUCUGCUAUUUGGCCAGUAGGAGGUGAAAGCCGUUGGUCAAGCUGAUCUUUCAAAAACAAAUCGGGAUUACCUUGCAAUGCUGCUGUUGUUGUUGAGGAUGAAAGUGAAGAUAUGAACUCUCCCGGGUGCCGUCCCAUCAUUAUCUCCAAUGCCACCACUCCAAAGCUGUACAGAAAAGCAGCUAUAUACUUCCUAAGGAAGAGCAGAUACACUAAAGCAGAAUAAGGAAUGGGCAAUGGACAAGAUACAUAUAACAGUACUAAAUUACCAGGUGCCAUGUAGCCAUAAGAACCAGCA